GGUGGCGUAGCCAAGUGGUAAGGCCAGAGUCUGCAAAACUCUUAUUCGUCGGUUCGAUUCCGACCGCCACCUCCA
rnacentral:tRNA from 1 species